rnacentral:lncRNA from 1 species
CUGGCCCUGGCCCUGCCCGGGCCGGUCAAGGGGGCGCUGGGGCGCGUGGGCGGCUGGAGGCCGAGGUGUGGGAGACUCUUUUUAUUACUUGGACGUUCAGCCCCGUCGGAUUUGGAGGGCAUUACGUCUGAAGACACAACGCGGGCCGGCGAGAGCUGAGCGGGGCUCCCUUGGCGGGAACGUGAAGGCAGCAAAGCUUUGCCCUUUUGUGUGUCAGGUCAACACGGCUCUCCCGUUAGACACCUUUUGACGGGGCUGCCUGCGCGCUGAAGAGAUCCAUCCUCUGGUUAUCAGUCAAACAAACAAAAGGAACCUGUAUCGGAGGAAUCAACGCUGAAAUUAAAUGUGUUAAUCUUCAGGGUGCUGUACUUGUUUCUUUUGACUUCCACCCCCGGGAGUUAAGAUUGACUUCCAUCUAGCUCAAAUUUGAAAUAUUGUCACCUUCUCCUCUGGUCCUGGGCUUCGAGCAGCACCCAGGUAAGCAUAAAUUCAAUCCCGGGCACAUUUACUUCUGAAAACAGCAGUGAUGCUUCUGUAACUAGAUUGUUACAGUGUCUGCAGCACUAUAAACCUGAAAGAUAGUACUGUACAGUAAAAUACAAACACAGAGCACUCCAUGGGGUUAAAUUCUGAAUGGGUCAGCCUAUAAGAGCAUGAUGCUUAGGAGACAAGUUAACUUGAAAUUCAAAAGGGGCCAUUCUUUCCCAGGCUGUGGGGCUGUGAGGCAAAAGAAAAAGCUGGGCUUAUUAUGUAGGCCUUCUUGGUGAUUGUAAAUUGUAAAUAUACAUAAGUUUUUGUCUGCAAAGCAUGACAGCAAAAAAAAGAAAAGCAUUUAAAAAUUAGCUCCACCUAGGUUUUUCCUUUAUUGUCUUCCAUGGAAUCUUUGGGGGAUAAAUUCCAUUUUGUUGUUUAGUCGAUAAAUCGUGUCUGACUCUUCAUGACCCCAUGGACCAAAGCACGCCAGGCGCUCCUGUCUUUUGUUGCCUCUUGGAGUUCCAAACUCCCCCCCCCCAAAAAAAUUGCAUAAGGUUUCAUUGUUAGCCAUU